GCAUCUGGGAGGCCUGCUAACUGGCUAACUUCUCCGGCGUUCCUCCCGGCCGAGGCGUGGGCACAGAAUAGCGCAGGUCAGUAUGUACCUCGUUUUGUAUAUUGUCUUGAAACUUUACUCCUUUGUAUGUUUGAAGACAUCAUUUUCCAGUUUUGGAGCCGACUAAUGAACUAGUUCUUAAGUGAAAGGCAUUUAACACGACUGUGCAUCUACAGGUACUAGGUUUCCAAGAUGCCUUUCCAGACUAAAACCCACACAUGUGAGCCGCUGGCCGGACAAACAUCUGGCACCUAACGUGGGGCUGAAAAACAGCAGAGGACAUUUGGAAGAAACACUGCUGGUUUGGAGCUCCAUAGAAGAAGAAAAUAAUUAAAGGAAAUUCAUACCAGAGAAGGUCAGUAUGGGCUAAGCUGAAACAGCGUUUAACCUGAGCGCUAAUUCGCUUAGGUUCAGCAGUGAGGCAUCUCAGGAGCUAGGAACGUAACAGGCGGUUAGCCAUAGCUCCCAGAAGCUACAUUUUUAGGCGUGAGAAAAGAAAGGGUUUAUUAAAAGGAAAUUAAUAAUAAGGCGGACUGCAUCAUGCGGGAGGAAAAUGUCCCAAAAAGCAGAGAGAAAUUUCCGGAGUGCCAUGCUUUGUUCUCUCUGGGCUUUACAGCAGAAAUACUCUGCCCCUUUUGUGUCUUGUCUAAUGUCUGGUGCACUGAAAGACCCACAACAUGAGGACUCCCCCACGUUCUGACUCAGGAGAGGCGACACCCCAAACCACUCACAAGAAACGGUCUUGCUGCAAACUGCAAGAGGAUUUUUAUUCAAGAGCGCUCUCAGGCCCACGGUCAUACACCACACAGGGGUAGAGGACUUUCGCGUCCUGAGUUGCUGGGAAAGGGGGUAUUUAAAGGAAGAAACCACAACUCAAGGAAGUG
rnacentral:lncRNA from 1 species